AUUGACCGCUGGCGGCAGGCCUAACACAUGCAAGUCGAGCGAGCAGCGGACGGGUGAGUAAUGUCUGGGAAACUGCCUGAUGGAGGGGGAUAACUCCUGGAAACGGUAUCUAAUACCGCAUACCAUCAGAUGUGCCCAGAUGGGAUUAGCUAGUAGGUGGGGUAACGGCUCACCUAGGCGACGAUCCCUAGCUGGUCUGAGAGGAUGACCAGCCACACUGGGACUGAGAAACGGUCCAGACUCCUACGGGAGGCAGCAGUGGGGAAUAUUGCCAAAUGGGCGCAAGCCUGAUGCAGCCAUGCCGCGUGUAUGAAGAAGGCCUUCGGGUUGUAAAGUACUUUCAGCGGGGAGGCGUUACCCGAAGAAGAAGCACCGGCUAACUCCGUGCCAGCAGCCGCGGUAAUAC
rnacentral:rRNA from 1 species